UUCAGGAAGACGGCAGCAAAACAAAGUUGUUGGCGCGGUUUUGAGAGAGCGGGUGAGCAGUGAGAAAGAUGAAGCGGAGUUAUCUGAGUGGAGCGGAGAAGAGAAGAAGGCGAAAAGAAAAGAAACAGUUUUUAUCAAAACUACCGAAGGUAUCAACCUUUUUCACGGUGACACCGAGUGGGGAUUCUCUGCAACAGCUAGAGCUAGAUGCUGCUGUCAGUAGCAGCUCUGCUGUCAGUGUCAGCCGAGGAGAUGUGGCGAGUGAAGCAAAGGAUUAUUUUCAUGAAGAUAAACGCAACAUACAACUUCAUCCAGGCUGAACCUGCUGCUGCUGCCACACUAAAGACGUGUUGAGGUGAGAAUAAAACUUUUGUCAGUGCAGUAUGAGGAUGUCAAGGGCCCCAAUGACUGGAUUUGCCUUGGGCCCCCAAAUGACUAAAUACGCCCCUGAGUGAAGGAGCUCGGACCUGACCGGUCUGACGUCUUAAUUAGACAACAGUCGGAGGACAGAGGGAGGAGAUAUACGUGGUCUUUUUCGCGGGCCUGGUAUGAGAAGACGUCUUGGCUGACAGGAUGCAGUGAGGCAGGUGCUUUAUUUUGCUUCCUCUGCCUGCUUUUUCAAACCAAGGGAACUGAUCAAGCCUGGAUUCAGACAGGUAUGGCGGAUUUAAAGUAUUUUUCUGAGAAAGUAAGAAGGCAUGAGCAAGCUAGGAGCCACAUGGAAAAUGCUAUGCGUCUGGGCAUGUUUGCGAGAGCUAACAUAGCAGCUCAGCUUGAUGAUGGCUACAGGAUAGGCAUCCGUAAACAUAACGAAGUCGACAAAAAUAGGCAUGUGCUGUCUAAAAUAAUAGACUGCAUUAAGUUCUGUGGUGCCUUUGAGCUCUCCCUGAGAGGCCAUGAUGAGAGUGAAAGCUCCGAAAAUCCAGGUGUUUUCAGAGGGCUGGUGGAUUUUGUAACAUCACUAGAUGCAGCUGUCCAUGAGCACCUUCAGACUGCCACUGUGUUUAAAGGGACAUCCAAAACAGUGCAGAAUGAACUCCUUGACUGCAUGCUGGCAGUUUUGAGUGAGUCCAUUAUUGAGGAAGUUCAGUGUGCAGACUUCAUAUCCAUCCAGGCUGAUGAAACAAUGGACAUCUCUACCCAGUGUCAGCUUGUUCUUGUGAUCCGCUACAUCGACAAAAUAAAUGAAGUGCAGGAGAGAUUUUUUGAGUUUAUACCUCUGCAAUCUGCCACAGCUGAGUCCAUUGCCAUAGCACUUUUGGAGAGGCUGAGCCUCAUUCUCCCCGAUGAUCAGAAGAGCAAGCUCAUCUCUGUCACAAGUCAGAGGUUUGAACCCAAGCAGCAGGCGCAGACAGGUGGGUGAAAUUAUUAAUGAUUUAAUAUCAACAAAAGUAAAUAAACAGAAAAAACUCUUAAUAAUUAUGACAGAGGAAAACAAGGGGAAGAGAACACAACUAAACUGAACCAAGGGCGGACCUGAAGGCCGAGAAAAACUAACAACCAAAACUAAACCAAAAUACUGGGGAAGAAGACUCACGAGAGGUCCAGAGCAUUAGUCCUGAGUCUGACGGGCGACAAAACUGGCUGAGUCGAGGGAGAGACGUGGCGAGGGUAGGUAACAGUCCAAAAGUGAAAUAGUGUCCAGUAGACGGAAUACAGGAAACGAAGUGCAGGAUUUGGCGGAGUGCGUCGUGGUCUUGGCAGGUGAGCAUGGAACAAUGAGCCGGCAGUGAACUGUGUAAAAAGGCCGGCUUAUAUACUGCAGUGAUUGUCUAUUCAAGCCAGCUGCGCUCUCCACACAGCUGUUCAUCAUUUGGCUGACUGAGCCAGAGCACCGGAGCAGGAGGAUCAUGACAAUCUCCCAGGCCUAUGAUGGUGCGAGUGUCAUGAGAGGAAACAAUGAGCUGCAUGAGUGAUGUGUAUGCGAAUGCACACUAUGUCCACUGCUAUGCUCACCAGCUCAACAUUAUCAUGCAGCAGGUGACAUCCCAUAUCCCAAAAGUUGGUCAGUUCUUCUCUGACCUAGCUGGAUUCUCAGGAUUUUUUUCAAGAUCCCCCAAGAGAACCAGUGUGCUUGACAGAGUGGUGGCACACAGGCUUCCAAGAGCAAGCACAGUAAGGUAGAACUUCCACAGCCGUGCUGUCAAGACUGUGUUUGAGCACAAAGACGACCUCCUUCAGUGCUUCGAAACCAUCAGGGACUCAGGUAACUUUGAUCCUACCACUGUCAGUGAAGCUGGAGAUUUUGUGAGACUCCUGGAGGAUGCUACCUUCUGCUUCUUCCUGGAGCUUUUCCACCGCAUCAUGCCUCAUGUGGACAUGCUCUACAGCCAGCUCCAGAAGACGUCCAUCGAUUUGGUCUUUGUCCACAGAGUGACGCAGCAUUUCACCGACAACGUGCAGCUAAUCAGGUAAAUACAUUUGGAUGUAACCAUAUUAAACCCUUAUGCAUCCUCUCACAAAAAGUGUCAUACGCAGUACUAUGGGACAAAAAUGUCAAAAACUGUAAUAAAAUUAUUACAUACUCAUAUCAUUUUCCUCUUACAUAGUUAGAUUUUUAAACCAUAAGUCCAGAUAAUAAAAGUUUUGAUUGAACUGAUCAUUUUCAGAGUAUUAACAUUUCUUUAUUACCUUUAAUUCCCAGUUCAUUUACAUUAUAUCACUAUUGUGUAUUGUGAAAAAAUAAAAUAAACUGAGUUUUACCCAAACACUUUUUUUUCUCUUCUGGGGCUGGUCAGAGACUCCCUCCCUACUGUCAGUGAAGAAUAUCACAGCUGUGUGUCUCAGCAGCAGCUGGCCAAGAAGUGCCGCACACUGGGACCAGAUGAACUACAGAGGAUAGCUCUGGUUUGUGACACAAUCCUGGGCCAUGCAAAAGAGAGGUUUGCCUUCACCAAACACCUAAUCAGUGCUACACUGCUUCAAGGAGACAGAUUCCAGGAGUACGACAGCUAGUUCCCUGAAGCAGCCCUCAACACCACCAUGGAGGCCUAUCCAAUGCUGAACAAGGGCAAGCUGAAAACUGAACUGUCGCUCAUCUUCAGCAACACAGAGUUCAGGAGUUGCAAUGGUGCUGUGGCUCUGUACCAGUUCUUCAUGAGCAACAAUCUUCAGGACACCUUCUCAGAGACUGUCUCUCUCCUGAAGAUCUUCAUCAUGACUCCAAUGACGACAGCUAAAUCUGAGAGGUGCUUCUCAACACUAAAAAGAAUCAAGACCUUCCUCAGGAACAUGAUGUCGCAGGAUUGUCUUAAUGCACUGGCCAUGCUCUCUAUGGAAAAGAAACUUGUCAGGGAGACCCCAGAUUUAAACCAUAGAGUCAUUGAGAAAUUUGCAUGUCUCAAAGACAGAAGAGCAAAACUUGCAUACAAAAAAAUAACACAGAUGUAGAGGUGCUGGCUUCAAUCUCUAAAAUGUGAGGAUUUACUUUUUUGUCAUUUAAUAAUGUAAAUAGAAAUGUUAGUUGACAAAAGUGGCACUUUAGACUGAAAGCCUGUUGAUUUUCACAUGUUCUGAAAUCUGAGGAAUUACUGUUUUUCUUUUCUUUUUUUCAUUGUAAAUAUUUAAUGUUUGUUGACUGAAGCACUUUGGGCUCAAAGCCUAAGAUAAGAUAGGUUUUAUUUGUCACAUGCACAGUUAUACAUAGUAUAAUGCAAAGUGACAAAUUUUUAUUGCUUUGAUCUUAAAUAUGCAGAUUUGCUGUUUUCUCAUUGUCAUGGAAGGUUGUUAAUGUAAAAGUUAGCUCACAGAAGCACUGUCUGCUUUAAGUCUUAUAGUUAGGUUUUUUUUUUUAACAAAAUGUCCAAUGUUUGUUGGUUUCACAGAUAUGGAUUUGUUUUUGUUUAUUUGAGUAUGUAAAUAUAAAUUUGUUGUUCCAAAGAUUUUGCUGGACAGAAGAAGCACUUGGCACUCUUUGAAGCUGGAAAAAUGAAUUGUUUUUUUUUUUUUUUUACUUUUGAAGUAAAACAUAGAUUUGCAUA